AUACGGAGGGUGCGAGCGUUAAUCGGAAUUACUGGGCGUAAAGGGUGCGUAGGCGGCUUGAUAAGUCGGAUGUGAAAGCCCCGGGCUUAACCUGGGAAUUGCAUUCGAUACUGUCAGGCUAGAGUAUGUCAGAGGUUGGCGGAAUUCCUGGUGUAGCGGUGAAAUGCGUAGAUAUCAGGAGGAACACCAGUGGCGAAGGCGGCUAACUGGGACAAUACUGACGCUGAGGCACGAAAGCGGGGGGAGCAAACAGGAUUAGAUACCCUAGUAGUCC
rnacentral:rRNA from 1 species